GCAUGGAAUCCCAGGGAGCAUCCUGCACUCUCAGUGUCCGGCUGUCUGAGGCCACAGUUGUUUCUGAUGAUAGAGAACAAUUGCUUUUUGCUGAGAGACUUAGCACUCCAUGGCUGAGGAGUUCUGCAAUAAAAUGCCUGCCUUCACUACCAGAUGGUAUUCACAAAAAUAGCUCACAUUAUGUUUUGCUUGUUUGCAAGUCAACAAGAUGAGGUCACUGAAGAGGUCUGAUUUUGUCUGCUCAGGAAUGUUUCAGGCUUGGUCUCCCUUUUAAUUUACUUUGUAAAUCAUUUUGUAAUUUUUAUCUCCUACCCAUUCUGUAACUUGUUAAUUACUUUUAUACAUAUGUAAUAUCUUUUAUGUAUGAUUUCUAAGUAUAUUACUAGUGAACAUUGACUGUUACACAGGCAUGCCUUGUCUUAUUGCACUUCAUUGUGCUUCCCAGAUGUUGGAUUUCUUACAAAUUGAGGGGUUUUGGCAACCUUACCUUGAGUGACUCUAUCAACAAUAUUUUUUCCAACACCAUGUGAUCUUUGUGUGUGUGUGUAUCUGCGUCAGCAUUUUUAUCAAUAAAGUAUAUUUUUUAUU